GACGAACGCUGGCGGCGCGCUUAACACAUGCAAGUCGAGCGAGAACCGAGGCUUCGGCCUCGGGGACAGCGGCGAACGGGUGAGUAACACGUGAGUAACCUGCCCUCGGCACCGGAAUAGCCCGGGGAAACCCGGAUUAAUGCCGGAUAGCCCUUCCGCCCUGCGGGGCGGAAGGAAAAGGUAGCUUCGGCCUCUGGCCGAGGAUGGGCUCGCGGCGGAUUAGCUUGCUGGCGGGGUAACGGCCCACCAAGGCGACGAUCCGUAGCUGGUCUGAGAGGACGAUCAGCCACACUGGGAGUGAGACACGGCCCAGACUCCUACGGGAGGCAGCAGUGGGGAAUCUUGCGCAAUGGGCGAAAGCCUGACGCAGCGACGCCGCGUGCGGGAAGAAGGCCUUCGGGUUGUAAACCGCUUUCAGGAGGGACGAAGCUACUCGGGUGAACAGCCCAGAGGGUGACGGUACCUCCAGAAGAAGCUCCGGCUAACUACGUGCCAGCCGCCGCAGUAACAC
rnacentral:rRNA from 1 species